rnacentral:rRNA from 1 species
AUUGAACGCUGGCGGAAUGCUUUACACAUGUAAGUCGAACGGCAGCACGGGGGCAGCCCUGGUGGCGAGUGGCGAACGGGUGAGUAAUACAUCGGAACGUGCCCGGUCGUGGGGGAUAACGUAGCGAAAGUUACGCUAAUACCGCAUACGAUCUGAGGAUGAAAGCGGGGGACCUUCGGGCCUCGCGCGAUCGGAGCGGCCGAUGUCAGAUUAGGUAGUUGGUGGGGUAAAGGCCUACCAAGCCGACGAUCUGUAGCUGGUCUGAGAGGACGACCAGCCACACUGGGACUGAGACACGGCCCAGACUCCUACGGGAGGCAGCAGUGGGGAAUUUUGGACAAUGGGCGCAAGCCUGAUCCAGCCAUUCCGCGUGCAGGACGAAGGCCUUCGGGUUGUAAACUGCUUUUGUACGGAACGAAAAGGCUCUGGCUAAUACCUGGGGCUCAUGACGGUACCGUAAGAAUAAGCACCGGCUAACUACGUG